rnacentral:misc_RNA from 1 species
GAUGAAGAACGCAGCGAAAUGCGAUAAGUAGUGUGAAUUGCAGAAUUCAGUGAAUCAUCGAAUCUUUGAACGCACAUUGCGCCCCUUGGUAUUCCAUGGGGCAUGCCUGUUCGAGCGUCAUUUGUACCUUCAAGCUUUGCUUGGUGUUGGGUGUUUGUCUCGCCUUUGCGUGUAGACUCGCCUUAAAAUCAUUGGCGGCCUUUGGAUUCGGCUCGAGCGCAGCACAUCGCGUCUCGGCCCGGCCCGCUGGCGUCCAGCAAGCGCAACUUUAUUUUGACCUCGGAUCAGGUAGGGAUACCCGCUGAACUUAAGCAUAUCAAUAAGCGGAGGA